GCUUUUUUAAUCUUGCAAUGAAUUCACUGUUAUUGAUCAUCUCUAACAUGUCCACGACUCUGAUAUAAAUUUAUGUCACAUCUCUCCACCAUGUAUUAUAUGGAAAAUAUCUCAUAUUCUACAUUCAUGGCAUUAAAAGGGU